GAUGAACGCUGGCGGCGUGCUUAACACAUGCAAGUCGAACGGUGAAGCAGAGCUUGCUCUGUGGAUCAGUGGCGAACGGGUGAGUAACACGUGAGCAACCUGCCCCGGACUCUGGGAUAAGCGCUGGAAACGGCGUCUAAUACCGGAUACGAGACAAGACGGCAUCGUCAUUGUCUGGAAAGAUUUUUUGGUCUGGGAUGGGCUCGCGGCCUAUCAGCUUGUUGGUGAGGUAAUGGCUCACCAAGGCGUCGACGGGUAGCCGGCCUGAGAGGGUGACCGGCCACACUGGGAUUGAGACACGGCCCAGACUCCUACGGGAGGCAGCAGUGGGGAAUAUUGCACAAUGGGCGAAAGCCUGAUGCAGCAACGCCGCGUGAGGGAUGACGGCCUUCGGGUUGUAAACCUCUUUUAGCAGGGAAGAAGCGAAAGUGACGGUACCUGCAGAAAAAGCGCCGGCUAACUACGUGCCAGCAGCCGCGGUAAUACGUAGGGCGCAAGCGUUAUCCGGAAUUAUUGGGCGUAAAGAGCUCGUAGGCGGUUUGUCGCGUCUGCUGUGAAAUCCCGAGGCUCAACCUCGGGCCUGCAGUGGGUACGGGCAGACUAGAGUGCGGUAGGGGAGAUUGGAAUUCCUGGUGUAGCGGUGGAAUGCGCAGAUAUCAGGAGGAACACCGAUGGCGAAGGCAGAUCUCUGGGCCGUAACUGACGCUGAGGAGCGAAAGGGUGGGGAGCAAACAGGCUUAGAUACCCUGGUAGUCCACCCCGUAAACGUUGGGAACUAGUUGUGGGGUCCAUUCCACGGAUUCCGUGACGCAGCUAACGCAUUAAGUUCCCCGCCUGGGGAGUACGGCCGCAAGGCUAAAACUCAAAGGAAUUGACGGGGACCCGCACAAGCGGCGGAGCAUGCGGAUUAAUUCGAUGCAACGCGAAGAACCUUACCAAGGCUUGACAUAUACGAGAACACUUCAGAAAUGAAGGACUCUUUGGACACUCGUAUACAGGUGGUGCAUGGUUGUCGUCAGCUCGUGUCGUGAGAUGUUGGGUUAAGUCCCGCAACGAGCGCAACCCUCGUUCUAUGUUGCCAGCACGUAAUGGUGGGAACU
rnacentral:rRNA from 1 species